rnacentral:rRNA from 1 species
CCUACGGGAGGCAGCAGUGGGGGAUAUUGCACAAUGGGGGGAACCCUGAUGCAGCGACGCCGCGUGGGUGAAGGAGCGUUUCGGUGCGUAAAGCCCUAUCGGCAGGGAAGAAGAUGACGGUACCUGUAUAAGCAGCCCCGGCUAACUCCGUGCCAGCAGCCGCGGUAAUACGGAGGGGGCGAGCGUUGUUCGGAGUGACUGGGCGUAAAGAGCACGUAGGCGGUGUUGUAAGUCAUUAGUCAAAGACUAGAGCUCAACUUUAGUAAGGCUAGUGAUACUAUAAUACUAGAGUAUCAGAGAGGAUUGCAGAAUUCCUGGUGUAGCGGUGAAAUGCGUAGAUAUCAGGAGGAAUACCGUUAGCGAAGGCGGCAAUCUGGCUGGAAACUGACGCUGAGGUGCGAAAGCGUGGGUAGCAAACAGGAUUAGAUACCCGUGUAGUC